rnacentral:rRNA from 1 species
AGAGUUUGAUCCUGGCUCAGGAUAAACGCUGGCGGCGCACAUAAGACAUGCAAGUCGAACGGAAGUCGUUAUACUGAUUUUGAUAAGAACGGAGAACUUGUUCAAAGGGACUUGAUGAAGAUUUAUAACAAUGGCUUUAGUGGCGGACUGGUGAGUAAUACGUAAGCAACCUGCCUAUUAGAGGGGAACAACAGUUAGAAAUGACUGCUAAUACCGCAUAUGCCAUAGUAACCACAUGGUUACAGUGGGAAAGGAGCAAUCCGCUAAUAGAUGGGCUUACGGCUGAUUAGCUAGUUGGUGGGGUAACGGCCUACCAAGGCGACGAUCAGUAGCCGGACUGAGAGGUUCAACGGCCACAUUGGGACUGAGAUACGGCCCAGACUCCUACGGGAGGCAGCAGUCGGGAAUUUUGCGCAAUGGAGGAAACUCUGACGCAGUGACGCCGCGUGCAGGAAGAAGGUUUUCGGAUUGUAAACUGCUUUAGACAGGGAAGAAAAAGGACAGUACCUGUAGAAUAAGCUCCGGCUAACUACGUGCCAGCAGCCGCGGUAAUACGUAGGGAGCAAGCGUUAUCCGGAUUUAUUGGGUGUAAAGGGUGCGUAGACGGGAAAAUAAGUUAGCUGUGAAAUCCCUCGGCUUAACUGAGGAACUGCAACUAAAACUGUUUUUCUUGAGUACUGGAGAGGAAAGUGGAAUUCCUAGUGUAGCGGUGAAAUGCGUAGAUAUUAGGAGGAACACCAGUGGCGAAGGCGACUUUCUGGACAGAAACUGACGUUGAGGCACGAAAGUGUGGGGAGCAAACAGGAUUAGAUACCCUGGUAGUCCACACUGUAAACGAUGGAUACUAGGUGUAGGGUGUGAUAAACGCUCUGUGCCGUCGCAAACGCAGUAAGUAUCCCACCUGGGGAGUACGGCCGCAAGGUURAAACUCAAAGGAAUUGACAGGGGCCCGCACAAGCAGUGGAGUAUGUGGUUUAAUUCGAAGCAACGCGAAGAACCUUACCAGGGCUUGACAUAUAAGUGAAUAUAUUAGAGAUAGUAUAGUCUUCGGACGCUUAUAUAGGUGUGCAUGGUGUCGUCAGCUC